rnacentral:misc_RNA from 1 species
GAAACUCAUUCAGAAAGAGGCAUCCAAAUGAAUUCCAUCUUGUACCAGCAAAUUUUAUUAGGGCCUGUUUUGCUAAACAAAUCUAGAUCUUCCCUUUAGUUUCUAUGUUCAGUACAUCAACAUCAGAAACAAAAGAUAGUCCCACCAUCCCUUUUUCUCUUAGAUAUUUUCAAAAAGAAAAGGUAAGAAAUGGGACCUUAUAAAUGCAAUUCAAUUUUACAAAAGAAUAGAUAGUCUAUGCUUCUAUGUAACACUGUGAGAUUUGUCUUUCAGUUUCGUAAAAGGAAAGGGCUAGAACAGUCUCUAUGCUUGUAGUUAAUAUAGAAUAGGAAGUUUGUCACAGAAUUCCAUUACAAAAUGUGAAUGGUCGCAGUACAUGUCCCUAAAGAGUCCAUAUAUUUCUGAACACUUCAAAAAUAAGCUAUUGACAUUCAUACUU